rnacentral:rRNA from 1 species
CCUACGGGGUGCAGCAGUGAGGAAUAUUGGUCAAUGGACGAGAGUCUGAACCAGCCAAGUAGCGUGAAGGAUGACUGCCCUACGGGUUGUAAACUUCUUUUAUAAAGGAAUAAAGUGAAGCACGUGUGCCUUUUUGUAUGUACUUUAUGAAUAAGGAUCGGCUAACUACGUGCCAGCAGCCGCGGUAAUACGGAGGAUCCGAGCGUUAUCCGGAUUUAUUGUGUGUAAAGGGAGCGUAGAUGGGUUGUUAAGUCAGUUGUGAAAGUUUGCGGCUAAACCGUAAAAUUGAAAUUGAUACUGGCAGUCUUGAGUACAGUUGAGGUAGGCGGAAUUCGUGGUGUAGCGGUGAAAUGCUUAGAUAUCACGAAGAACUCCGAUUGCGAAGGCAGCUUACUAAACUGCCACUGACAUUGAUGCUCGAAAGUGUGGGUAUCAAACCGGAUUAGAUACCCGAGUAGUC